rnacentral:rRNA from 1 species
UGGGGAAUAUUGCACAAUGGGCGCAAGCCUGAUGCAGCAACGCCGCGUGAACGAUGAAGGUCUUCGGAUCGUAAAGCUCUGUUGCAGGGGAAGAUAAUGACGGUACCCUGUGAGGAAGCCCCGGCUAACUACGUGCCAGCAGCCGCGGUAAUACGUAGGGGGCUAGCGUUAUCCGGAUUUACUGGGCGUAAAGGGUGCGUAGGUGGUCCUUCAAGUCGGUGGUUAAAGGCUACGGCUCAACCGUAGUAAGCCGCCGAAACUGGAGGACUUGAGUGCAGGAGAGGAAAGUGGAAUUCCCAGUGUAGCGGUGAAAUGCGUAGAUAUUGGGAGAAACACCAGUAGCGAAGGCGGCUUUCUGGACUGCAACUGACACUGGGGCACGAAAGCGUGGGUAGCAAACAGG